UGGGGAAUUUUGGACAAUGGGGGAAACCCUGAUCCAGCCAUCCCGCGUGUGCGAUGAAGGCCUUCGGGUCGUAAAGCACUUUUGGCAGGAAAGAAACGUCAUGGGUUAAUACCCCGUGAAACUGACGGUACCUGCAGAAUAAGCACUGGCUAACUACGUGCCAGCAGCCGCGGUAAUACGUAGGGUGCAAGCGUUAAUCGGAAUUACUGGGCGUAAAGCGUGCGCAGGCGGUUCGGAAAGAAAGAUGUGAAAUCCCAGAGCUCAACUUUGGAACUGCAUUUUUAACUACCGGGCUAGAGUGUGUCAGAGGGAGGUGGAAUUCCGCGUGUAGCAGUGAAAUGCGUAGAUAUGCGGAGGAACACCGAUGGCGAAGGCAGCCUCCUGGGAUAACACUUACGCUCAUGCACGGAAGCGUGGGGAGCAAACAGG
rnacentral:rRNA from 1 species